CAACUGUAGUUUGACUAAACAAGAUGUUUCGUUACGGGUCAUUGUUAACAUUACUUUUAAUUAUUAGUCUCGCAUGCGCUGCCCCAGAUCGUACUGUAUCUCUAUAUCAAAGUGUUGCUGCAGAGACUAUUCAGGAUUCUAAGUUCGGCGACAAAGCUUUCACCAUUAGAACAUAUUUGCCACCGUGUGGACUACUCCAAAAGGUCAUCUCAAUAGUUAUCUACCAAAAUUGCGUGUGAGAUAAAGUCAAAGCGAAUUACAAAUUAAACUUUUAC